UGCAGCGCGCUUGCUCACUGGGGGGACUUUUCGGAGGCACCGAGAAGUAACCUAUGACAUUUAUCUGUCUCAUUUUAACAUGGGACUGGACUCACCAGUCAGAACGCUGUGGGAGAUGGAAAUGGACCGGGAGUGGACACGAGCAACUUCAGGUAACAAGAGAUCAUACAAAAGGAACCCCAAGGACAGAGAUUAGGACCUUGAAGAGUCACUCAGGAGAGCCCACAUUGGCCUUUCAAAGUCAUCACAUCAAGGGUCAGAAACUUGAAUGCUUUCAGGUCCAGACAGGUCAACCAGAUGCCUGGUUUUCAUCCAUCUCCAUUCUUGAUUCCCAACUUGUCAAAUAGUUACGAGUCUCACAAUAUCCUUCCAGAAGGGUACUUAGAAUGAGUGCUCUAAUAUUUAUUUCCCACAACUUAUGGGAGGCUCCUGUGUGUGUGCAGCGCUUUGGAGACCAUGGCCUGAAUCCUGGAUGUUCUGAAGAUGAAGACCGGGGGACAUACAGAAAUGAAAAAGGUUCUUGACAGUUUACAUCUGGCAGGGAAGGUUGUGGGAUGAAAGCAACUGUAACACCUCACCUGGGAAAGCCUCUGUGGAAUGUAUGACAAGGGCUGCUUUUUAUGGCCCUGGCAGAGUGACAAGACUUCAUCUCCCUUCAAACAUAUUUUUAAAAUUAUGAAAUCAUUAAUCUUGGCUAUGACUAUGUCUUUUGGGAACAUCAAGAGAUAAAGCAGGCCCUUGAUGAUUAGCCUGAAGAAAAGGUUCCAGUCACUUGAGAAAAAUUCUCAGGGAGUGUAAGUUUGGCUGCAGAAGCAGCCCCCCUCCAAGCAUAUCCUCUGCAGGAAACAUGACUCAGUCGGCUAGAAGCAAGGUGGAAAAGUGAGAUGCUUAUUUUCUAUAGUUAUAGAGGCUCCUGAGAAUAAAGCAGGCAAAAUAGAGCACAAGUCUAUAUGAAGAGCUUCUAGUUAUUAAGAAAUGAGCUCAGCUAUUUGUGUCAAACAUAAAAUUCUCCCUUUUGCUAGGAUUCCUAAUAGCAGUACGCGGAAUCUUUUCUUGAACUAAAAUAAUUUUCUGGAACUAAAUAUGGCUUUCACAAAUCGCAUGGGGACUGGACUGAAGAAACAUCUCUAACAUGAACUGCAAAGAACAGACAGCUCACAGCAACAUCUCCACACGGAUGUCCCCUGCUCACAAUAUCGGUUUGCUCAGGCGUUCAGGUGACUACAUGCUUCAGAGAAGCAGCCAUCCCUCUGCUUUCAGUGGCUGUUCUCCCAUCUACAUAUAAACUUAAUGCUGGAUCUCAUAUUCUAAAACAUCUUCUCUUCCACU